GACGAACGCUGGCGGCGUGCCUAAUACAUGCAAGUCGAGCGAAGCGGCGGAUGGGGGAGAAACGCGUGGGGAACCUGCCCUUAAGUCUGGGAUACCAGUUGGAAACAGAUGCUAAUACCGGAUACUAAAGGAUGGACCUGCGAUGCAUUAGCUAGUUGGUAAGGUAACGGCUUACCAAGGCGAUGAUGCAUAGCCGGGUUGAGAGACUGACCAGCCACACUGGAACUGAGACACGGUCCAGACUCCUACGGGAGGCAGCAGUGGGGAAUAUUGCACAAUGGGCGCAAGCCUGAUGCAGCCAUGCCGCGUGUAUGAAGAAGGCCUUCGGGUUGUAAAGUACUUUCAGCGAGGAGGCGUUACUCGCAGAAGAAGCACCGGCUAACUCCGUGCCAGCCGCCGCGGUAAUAC
rnacentral:rRNA from 1 species